rnacentral:rRNA from 1 species
GAUCAUUACUGACACUGAGGAACGAAAGCAUGGGUAGCGAAGAGGAUUAGAUACCCUCGUAGUCCAUGCCGUAAACGAUGUGUGUUAGACGUUGGAAAUUUAUUUUCAGUGUCGCAGCGAAAGCGAUAAACACACCGCCUGGGGAGUACGACCGCAAGGUUAAAACUCAAAUGAAUUGACGGGGACCCGCACAAGUAGUGGAGCAUGUGGUUUAAUUCGAAGAUACGCGCAGAACCUUACCAACACUUGACAUGUUCGUCGCGACUCUAAGAGAUUAGAGUUUUCGGUUCGGCCGGACGAAACACAGGUGCUGCAUGGCUGUCGUCAGCUCGUGUCGUGAGAUGUUGGGUUAAGUCCCGCAACGAGCGCAACCCUCACUUUUAGUUGCCAUCAUUAAGUUGGGCACUCUGAAAGAACUGCCAGUGAUAAGCUGGAGGAAGGUGGGGAUGACGUCAAGUCCUCAUGGCCCUUACGUGUUGGGCUACACACGUGCUACAAUGGUAUCUACAACAGGAAGCAAGACGGCAACGUUUAGCAAAUCCCGAAAAGAUACCUCAGUUCGGAUUGCACUCUGCAACUCGAGUGCAUGAAGCUGGAAUUACUAGUAAUCGUGGAUCAGCGUGCCACGGUGAAUGCGUUCCCGGGUCUUGUACACACCGCCCGUCACACCAUGGGAGUUGGUUCUACCUUAAGGCAAGGUUUCAAACCCUUGACCACGGUAUAGUCAGCGACUGGGGUGAAGUCGUAACAAGGUAACCGUA